UCUCUUCAUGAUGGAUUCAAUAAUGAAUAUCACUGAUCCCGAGAUCAUGGACACACAGUACCAGCAGAUGGCUCCCCAAAUGGGACCACGUCAGACCCUCUUCUACUGUCCCAAGUGCCUCCGCGGCUUCACCCUGAAGAGCAAUCGUAAUCGUCAUUUCAAGUACGAAUGUGGCCACGAGCCACGAUUCAAGUGCCCUUACUGCGACUUGCGCAGCAAACAAACUUCACAAAUUUAUUCUCACGUCAGGAGAAAACAUCCUGGUGAGAGGGUGUACUUCGUCGAUAUCAAGGGAUAGGUCUAGGGACAUUAAUCGUAUCUUCAUUGUUAAUUAACACCUACGACUCUACCGGGACUCACCACGAUGAUAAUAAAAGCGAUGAUUGUGUAACGGUUUCUCGAUUAUUAUCAACCCGGUCACGUGGAACAAUUGGAUCAAGCUCUCUGUCUCGAUCCUGUAUUCAACGAACCCCAGAAACGCAUGUUGGGUCGUCGCAGUCUCAUUCAUCAGAAACGUUUCUUCUGUCCAAAAUGUCUCAUGGGAUUUACGAUGAUGAAAAACCUCAAACGUCAUUAUUAUUACGAGUGCGGAUGUGACCCGCGUUACAAGUGCCCCUACUGCGACUCCAAGAGCAAACAGACCUCCCAGAUCUACGCACACAUCAGGAGGAAACAUCCUAAUGAGAGAGUCUACUUCAUCGAUCUCAUACUUUAAUUGGAGGGACUGAGGGAGUCUCUUAAUUAAUGAAAUUAUAAGAUUCAUCAGAUGUUGAUGUAGAGCGUACACUGAACAAUUGCUUUUGCCAAAUGUUUUAAUUAGGGGUUAAUUAGGGUAAUUAAAUUGUCUAGAAGAUGAUGAUGUUGGUCCUAACAUUCACUGAAGUCUUUCAGAAAUUAUGGAGAUGACAAAAUUUAUGGAAAUUUUUUUUUAGAAAAUUAUAAAUAAAAAAUUGUUGACGGAUUUCGUUGGGGCCAACAUUGUCAUCCUCGAGAGCAGUGAGAUCAUCACUGAUGACACCUGAUUGACCUCUUCAGGAUGAAUCGAUCAAGAAAUAUAAUUUUGAAAAAAUAAAUUGGCAAAAACAGUUUUUUUCGUAUGAGAAAUUUGUCAUUUAUUCCUUCGGUUAUUUUCGAUUAAUUAGCUUUGAUGGGUCUAAUUGAUUGAUUAUAUCUUGUUUCAUUGUUAACAUUCAUAGAUAAUUAAGCCCACAUAAUAACAAAGUUUACUGUGAAGUAUUAAAGGGCUUUCUAAUUAAAUUUUAAGGUUCCAAAAGUGGAAAUUUCUUUAUGAAGAUUUUCUCGUUCCUCGAUUAUUAUCGAUUAAUCAACUUUCAUUUAGAUAAUUAUUACUAUUUCGUUUCGUUGUUAACAUUAAAACAGAUUUAUGCUCCUUAUCAGGAGGACGUACCCUAAUGAGAGAAGUUAUUUCGCUGAUUACACGUUAAUUGCGUUGGCUCAGAGUAAUUUUAAUUAUUUAACGAAAUGUGACGAUUAAUAAAAUGUUGUUUCCAUAGA